rnacentral:rRNA from 1 species
UACGAAGGGGGCGAGCGUUGUUCGGAAUUACUGGGCGUAAAGCGUGCGCAGGCGGUUGUGUAAGUCAGAUGUGAAAUCCCCGGGCUCAACCUGGGAAUUGCAUUUGAGACUGCACGGCUAGGGUGUGUCAGAGGGGGGUAGAAUUCCACGUGUAGCAGUGAAAUGCGUAGAGAUGUGGAGGAAUACCGAUGGCGAAGGCAGCCCCCUGGGAUAACACUGACGCUCAUGCACGAAAGCGUGGGGAGCAAACAGG